UGCAUUUGGAUAAAACCCCAUCUUCAAGGGCUUGUUCCUUGAGUUGUCCAAGCUUAUCUGGAUCAAACAGGAAGGUCUUGUAAACCAUUUCUUCUUCUUCAUACAGCUUGUUUGUGUUUGAUAUAUCUUCAAUCUCAUCAAAUUCAUGGUGCUCGAACUCUAUCAUAGGUUGGUUUCGGGGUUUCAGUAUGGUUCUGUCUAAAAAUGGAGGGGUCUUUAAUGGCAAGCCUCUGGUAACUUCACCCCAUCCAUUCACAAAUUCCAUAGCAGCAAUCCCAUCAAGCAUACAGUGGUUCAUGCUCAUCCCAAUAGAAAAU
rnacentral:lncRNA from 1 species